GACGAACGCUGGCGGCGUGCUUAACACAUGCAAGUCGAACGGAAAGGCCCUGCUUUUGUGGGGUGCUCGAGUGGCGAACGGGUGAGUAACACGUGAGUAACCUGCCCUUGACUUUGGGAUAACUUCAGGGAACUGGGGCUAAUACCGGAUAGGAGCUCCUGCUGCAUGGUGGGGGUUGGAAAGUUUCGGCGGUUGGGGAUGGACUCGCGGCUUAUCAGCUUGUUGGUGGGGUAGUGGCUUACCAAGGCUUUGACGGGUAGCCGGCCUGAGAGGGUGACCGGCCACAUUGGGACUGAGAUACGGCCCAGACUCCUACGGGAGGCAGCAGUGGGGAAUAUUGCACAAUGGGCGGAAGCCGGAUGCAGCAACGCCGCGUGCGGGAUGACGGCCUUCGGGUUGUAAACCGCUUUCGCCUGUGACGAAGCGUGAGUGACGGUAAUGGGUAAAGAAGCACCGGCUAACUACGU
rnacentral:rRNA from 1 species